rnacentral:rRNA from 1 species
GGAUAAUCUGCCCUCAGGUGAGGAAUAAUCCCGGGAAACUGGGGCUAAUGCCUCAUAGGAGACGGGUGCUGGAAUGCUCUGUCUCCGAAAGGUCCGCCGCCUGAGGAUGAGUCUGCGUCCGAUUAGGUUGUUGUUGGGGUAACGGCCCAACAAGCCUUUGAUCGGUACGGGUUGUGGGAGCAAGAGCCCGGAGAUGGAUUCUGAGACAUGAAUCCAGGCCCUACGGGGCGCAGCAGGCGCGAAAACUUUACAAUGCGAGCAAUCGUGAUAAGGAAACCCUGAGUGCCUGUCAAUGCAGGCUGUUCUGGUGUCUAACACACACCAGGAGAAAGGGCGGGGCAAGACCGGUGCCAGCCGCCGCGGUAAUACCGGCUGCUCGAGUGAUAGCCACUUUUACUGGGCUUAAAGCGUUCGUAGCUUGGUCGUUAAGUCUCUGGGGAAAUCUUUUGGCUCAACCAAAAGGCGUCUCAGGGAAACUGACGAUCUUGGAACCGGGAGAGGUAAGACGUACUUCGGGGGUAGGAGUGAAAUCUUGUAAUCCCCGAGGGACGACCGAUGGCGAAGGCAUCUUACCAGAACGGCUUCGACAGUGAGGGACGGAAGCUGGGGGAGCAAACCGGAUUAGAUACCCGGGUAGUCCCAGCCGUAAACGAUGCGCGUUAGGUGUAUCGGUGACCACGAGUUACCGAGGUGCCGAAGGGAAACCGUGAAACGCGCCGCCUGGGAAGUACGGUCGCAAGGCUGAAACU